rnacentral:lncRNA from 12 species
UCUGUGUGGUGCAUUAGAAAUUCCAGAAGGGCUUUUUCACACUUGUACUGCUAAUGUUCUUAAUUCCUUUGGCAAAAUGAGCUGGUCCUAAGUCUUUUACUUUGCUGUGCACACUACCAACCUCAGGCUUUUCUAACGUUCAUUACAUUGUGAUUUUACAGCUUCAGUGAAGCCUUUCAGGCAGUCAAAGGCAUUCAGCUGUCUCAGCAAGAGGGCACUAAGGAACAGGAGUUGGACACAAAGGAAAGCUGCCCCUUGGAAGUGGAAAUAAUGAGAGCUGUGUCCUGCCCAUGCCCUGUGCAGACCAGAGAAAGGUCUGUGCCUGGGCUUUACCAGUGACUGCUUCCCCCUGGCUGAGCCUGCACCCCAGACAGGCUGCAAUACUGGUGUGGUGAUGGUUAUCCCCAGGAGAGAGGCUUGGGGCAGAGGCAAAUACUCUUGCUCCAGAGUAUGCACCAGGCAUGAACAAACUUGUAAUGGCUUCUGGAAGUGAUGUUAUGGCUG